rnacentral:rRNA from 1 species
AAUUGAAGAGUUUGAUCAUGGCUCAGAUUGAACGCUGGCGGCAGGCCUAACACAUGCAAGUCGAACGGUAACAGGAAGAAGCUUGCUUCUUUGCUGACGAGUGGCGGACGGGUGAGUAAUGUCUGGGAAACUGCCUGAUGGAGGGGGAUAACUACUGGAAACGGUAGCUAAUACCGCAUAACGUCGCAAGACCAAAGAGGGGGACCUUCGGGCCUCUUG